UACGUAGGGUGCGAGCGUUAAUCGGAAUUACUGGGCGUAAAGCGUGCGCAGGCGGUUUUUUAAGACAGGCGUGAAAUCCCCGGGCUUGACCUGGGAACUGCGCUUGUGACUGGAAGGCUAGAGUACGGCAGAGGGGGGUGGAAUUCCACGUGUAGCAGUGAAAUGCGUAGAGAUGUGGAGGAACACCGAUGGCGAAGGCAGCCCCCUGGGCCGAUACUGACGCUCAUGCACGAAAGCGUGGGGAGCAAACAGG
rnacentral:rRNA from 1 species